rnacentral:siRNA from 1 species
ACCCACUCUCACCAAUCGCGUGAU